rnacentral:precursor_RNA from 1 species
UGGGGGCCGAGAGAGGCGGGCGGCCCCGCGGUGCAUUGCUGUUGCAUUGCACGUGUGUGAGGCGGGUGCAGUGCCUCGGCAGUGCAGCCCGGAGCCGGCCCCUGGCACCACGGGCCCCC